GGCGCACGGGUGAGUAACACGUGAAUCACAUGCCCUGCAGAGGGGGAUAGCCCAGGGAAACUUGGAUUAAUACCCCAUGGUCUCGCAAGAGUAAACGGUGGCCGCAAGGCUGUCGCUGCAGGAUUGGUUCGCGCCCUAUCAGCUUGUUGGCGGGGUAACGGCCCACCAAGGCUACGACGGGUACCUGGUCUGAGAGGACGAUCAGGCUCACUGGAACUGAGACACGGUCCAGACACCUACGGGUGGCAGCAGUCGAGAAUAAUUCACAAUGGGGGCAACCCUGAUGGUGCAACGCCGCGUGGAGGAUGAAGGUCUUCGGAUUGUAAACUCCUGUCAUCCGGGAGCAAGACCUGACGGUGAAUAGCCGGCAGGGUUGAUAGUACCGGAAGAGGAAGGGACGGCUAACUUCGUGCCAGCAGCCGCGGUAAUACGAAGGUCCCGAGCGUUGUUCGGAAUCACUGGGCGUAAAGGGAGCGUAGGCGGCGUGGUAAGUCAGAUGUGAAAUCCCGGGGCUCAACCCCGGAACUGCAUCCGAUACUGCCGUGCUAGAGGAUUGGAGAGGUAGCUGGAAUUCACGGUGUAGCAGUGAAAUGCGUGGAUAUCGUGAGGAACACUCGUGGCGAAAGCGAGCUACUGGACAACUCCUGACGCUGAGGCUCGAAGGCCAGGGUAGCGAAAGGGAUUAGAUACCCCUGUAGUCCUGGCAGUAAACGGUGUGCGCUUGGUGUGAGGGGAAUCGACCCCCCUUGUGCCGGAGUUAACGCGUUAAGCGCACCGCCUGGGAAGUACGGUCGCAAGACUAAAACUCAAAGAAAUUGACGGGGACCCGCACAAGCGGUGGAGUAUGUGGCUUAAUUCGAUGCAACGCGAAGAACCUUACCAAGGCUUGACAUGCAUCUCUAAGCGCGUGAAAGCGCGUGACCCUUCGGGGGAUUUGCACAGGUGCUGCAUGGCCGUCGUCAGCUCGUGUCGUGAGAUGUUGGGUUAAGUCCCGCAACGAGCGCAACCCNUUGUGAACAGUUGCCAGCGCGUCAUGGCGGGAACUCUGUUCAAACUGCCCANAUCAACUGGGAAGAAAGUGGGG
rnacentral:rRNA from 1 species